rnacentral:rRNA from 1 species
UACGGAGGGUGCAAACGUUGCUCGGAAUCAUUGGGCGUAAAGCGAGCGUAGGCGGCUAUGUAAGUCGGGUGUGAAAGCCCUCGGCUCAACCGAGGAAGUGCAUUCGAAACUGCAUGGCUUGAGUAUCGGAGAGGAUAGCGGAAUUCCCGGUGUAGAGGUGAAAUUCGUAGAUAUCAGGAAGAACACCCGUGGCGAAGGCGGCUCUCUGGGACGGUACUGACGCUGAGACGCGAAAGCGUGGGGAGCGAACAGG